CAUAUACUCCCUCUGUCCGAAAAUACUUGUCCUAAAAAUGAAUAAAAUAGAUGUAUCUAUAACUAAAAUAAGUCUAAAUACAACCAUUUCUAAGACAAGUAUUUCCGGACGGAGGGAGUAAUAU
rnacentral:pre_miRNA from 1 species